CUUUUUUUUUUGUUAUUUUAAUGCUUAAAUAAAUAUUUACAAAAUGAAAUGUUGAAAUAAAGUUAUUCAAACUAAAAAGAAACGUAUUAUGUACACUGAAUUAUAAAAUGCUAAAAAGAACUAUGAAAUGGAAAGAAAAGGCCAAACUGCAUCCUUAAAAUUUAAAUUUGGAAACGUAGUUUUGACAAUAAAUGUUAAACCCGAACAUUAGAUAGUGGUUGACAUUAGAUUCUCUAUUCUUUAAAGCUAUCCCUCUCGACUGUUAAUUGCCAGUUAAUUACCAACCUAAGUUAGUCAAAAAAAAAUGGAUGACUGUGAGCUCUAGAAGUGUAACUUUACUUCGGUUUAUAUAAUAUUGUACAUUUUGCGUUAACAAAUAUACUAUACAGCAGACUUUUCUUUUUCAAGGGAGUGUCAAUAAUCAUUUUAGUAUUGUUGUAACCCUGCCUUGCAUCAAUGCUUUUGGUGCGUACGAGCGUACAUUUGAACAAGGACAUGAAGAGGCUAGGACACAAGAAAGAACAGAGAGUGUAUCCAGUGGUUGGGGAAAGUCUGAAGUGUUGGGGGAACUAAGGAGCCAUCUUUCAUGCUUUCUAAAAGACUGUAAUAGGGACCUGGAGCGAAGCAAGGAAGACUGUCGUUGGUCCGUAUUCGGUUUGGUGGAGGAAGGAUUGGUAGAAUUAGGAACAAGACUCUUCGGUGUGGAAGGCUGUUAUGUGUUUGUCCUGGCGAAUAAACACACGUAUUUAUUUACUGUAGAACCUCCUUGAGUUGCCUUCCUUAGAUUUACAACAGUAUGUAGAAAGUCUUUUUAACCGUAGACUGGACCACCUGCAGUCGAACGUGAUAUAAAGAUAAAUCACACUAUAUUUUAGUCGAAAUAACAUAAUUCAAUAGGGCCGUCACUUACAAGGCUCUCAACUAUUGACUAAAAUAAUGAAUAGUACACAGUUAUCUAUUAAAUCCAAAGAAAACUUAGUGCAAGCAAUGAAGGUAAACUUUGGACAAUUAUAUCCCUAAACAAUCACAUUAUACAUUUUGUUGAUUUUUUAUUUUAGAAAAAAAUGUUGAAAAUCUUGAGAAUAAGUUUAUACAAUAAUAUAUAAAAAAAAAGUAAAUACUCAAGAAAUAUAAUGAUAAUAAUACCCAAAAAAAUCCAUUUAUAGACGAAAAAUAUUUACAAUUAUAUAUACAAAAUGUGUAUUUUUAAAACAAUUUAAUUUACAUAAAAUAUCCUUUCCUUUUUUAUCGUGAUUUGUCCUGACUUUACUGGGAAAGAAAGAUGUCGGUUAUACACGAAUACUUAAUUUAGAGAGUCAGAGUUAUAGAGCGAGACCGCUCCAGGGCGGUGGUUUAAAGUCUAACUACAAUUAUGAUCUUACUCGGCUCAUAUCACGCAACUUUGAAUUGGGAUCUAAGCGCAAAUUUCUCACCGCGAUUUCUAUUUUUAUGAAUACGAGUUGUCUUGGAAGGGAAGCGCUUUUAAAGGUCAAGCAGGUCAUUUACUGAAGGUAGCUUUGCUCACUCUUAAUCCCAAUGAGGCACCCACCUCUCACCUGUGGCUCUCAGUGGAUUAAGCGUGCGCAGCGUCACACGCCAAAUACGGUUUUGACUGGGCGGCUAAACUAGGUAGAGGGUAUCUGACGUGUUCGUGAAACUCAGUAAAUGUUGUGGUUCUUAUGCAACCUAGCAUGAAGUCUGGACUUGGUGCCCUGUAAGAAGUGUCACUCUGCUUACACUAAGGCAGUCAACAUCAGAGCGCUGUUGUGCGCUUAAGACACAUAGACACAAGACGCAUAAUAAAUAUAUAGACCAAACUCGUUCCCGGACGUCUUGACACACUCUUACUACCGGACUAUCUCCAAAACCGUUGCUUUGACAGUUCAAAACUUAACCAUCGCAUUUCCGAUGGUUUUAAUCGCGCAUACACUCAGCGCUGCUUUUCUGCCUGAAUGGCGCUCAGAAUACGGUAACUCGUUUGGCGGGUGGGGUUCCGCUUCGGAUCCGCUGAUGGAGUUCACAAGUCACAGACCGCAAGCUGCAACGGCAUUAAGUCAAAACCUUUAAAAAAAAUAAAAAUAAGUAAACUACCCCCUUAUAGAUCUUGCUUUCUAUGUUAAGGUCAACCGUUUCUAUGGUAACGGUUAAUCAGCAGGGUGUCAUGUGGUCAGCACAACUACAAACCGCCUUUACUGGGUGAACUCAGGGACGCCCUAAAAAUCCCGAAAGUGAAAAUCAAAGUAUUCACUGAGAUUUGAAUCCAGGACCCCAGGUUCGGAAGACAAGUGCUUUACCACUCUGCCACCGCGCCCCUCAUAACGUAGCUUUCAAAAGAAAAAAAAAUGGGCUUCAAUGUUAUCUGCACAUAGCCCACUGCCCAGCCAUCUUAUUUCAACUAAUAGUAUCAUAUUCUCAACCGAUACUGAAAUGUCAACGACAUAUAUUGCUUCCAAUGUUUGUUUCUAUGGCCGACUGUUAACGCGGGUAUCAUCUGGCCAGUAUAAUGACCAACCGCCUCUACAGAAUUAAAGCCACAUACCCAUUGGAGUAGGGUGGACUCAGGGGCGUCUUAAAAAUUCCUCGAUUCAAAAUUCUAGCCUUCAACGAGAUUUGAACCCGAGAUCGCUCGGGUCGGAAAUCAAGCGCUAUACCGCUCGGCCCCCACGCCCCUAAUUCAUAGAGUAUAUUUAAGUUCAACGUAAGGAAAUGUCGCUUUAAAAAUAAACACAAAUGUAUGCAAAUAGUCAAUGGCAAAAAAAAAAACAUAAAAGGGCCAAGGAGAAUGACCAUGGAAUGAUGGAAUGACCAUGGAAUGAUGGAAUGACCAUGGAAUGAUGGAAU